rnacentral:rRNA from 1 species
UACGUAGGGUGCGAGCGUUAAUCGGAAUUACUGGGCGUAAAGCGUGCGCAGGCGGUUUUGUAAGCCAGAUGUGAAAUCCCCGGGCUUAACCUGGGAAUGGCAUUUGGGACUGCAAGGCUUGAGUUUUGGCAGAGGAGACUGGAAUUCCUGGUGUAGCAGUGAAAUGCGUAGAGAUGUGGAGGAAUACCGAUGGCGAAGGCAGCCCCUGGGCCAAUACUGACGCUCAUGCACGAAAGCGUGGGGAGCAACAGG